CGCCGCGUGGAGGAUGAAGUCCUUGGGAUGUAAACUCCUUUCGAUCGGGACGAUAAUGACGGUACCGGAAGAAGAAGCACCGGCUAACUCUGUGC
rnacentral:rRNA from 1 species